rnacentral:rRNA from 1 species
UACGUAGGGUGCAAGCGUUGUCCGGAAUUAUUGGGCGUAAAGAGCUCGUAGGCGGAUUGUCGCGUCGAAUGUGAAAACCCGGGGCUCAACCCCGGGCCUGCAUUCGAUACGGGCAGACUAGAGUUCGGCAGGGGAGACUGGAAUUCCUGGUGUAGCGGUGAAAUGCGUAGAUAUCGAGAGGAACACCUGCGGCGAAGGCGGGUUGCUGGGCCGACACUGACGCUGAUGCGCGAAAGCCAGGGGAGCGAACGGG